rnacentral:rRNA from 1 species
ACUCAAAGGAAUUGACGGGGACCCGCACAAGCGGUGGAGCGUGUGGUUUAAUUCGACGAUAAGCGGAGAACCUUACCAGGGUUUGACAUCCCGGUCGUACGCCAUGGAAACAUGGUGGUCAGUUUGCUGGACCGGUGACAGGCGCUGCAUGGCCGUCGUCAGCUCGUGUCGUGAGAUGUUGGGUUAAGUCCCGCAACGAGCGCAACCCUCGUCGUCUGUUGUAUUUCUCAGACGAGACUGCCUCGGUCAACGAGGAGGAAGGUGGGGAUGACGUCAGGUCAGCAUGGCCCUUAUACCCUGGGCGACACACGCGCUACAAUGGCCGGCACAAUGGGACGCGAAGCCGCAAGGUGGAGCUAAUCCCAUCAAAGCCGGUCCCAGUUCGGAUUGGAGGCUGCAACUCGCCUCCAUGAAGCCGGAAUCGCUAGUAAUCGCAGAUCAGCCACGCUGCGGUGAAUACGUUCUCGGGUCUUGCACACACCGCCCGU